UACGUAGGUGGCAAGCGUUGUCCGGAAUUAUUGGGCGUAAAGCGCGCGCAGGCGGUCCUUUAAGUCUGAUGUGAAAGCCCACGGCUCAACCGUGGAGGGUCAUUGGAAACUGGGGGACUUGAGUGCAGGAGAGAAGAGUGGAAUUCCACGUGUAGCGGUGAAAUGCGUAGAGAUGUGGAGGAACACCAGUGGCGAAGGCGACUCUUUGGCCUGUAUCUGACGCUGAGGCGCGAAAGCGUGGGGAGCAAACAGG
rnacentral:rRNA from 1 species